UACGUAGGUGGCAAGCGUUGUCCGGAAUUAUUGGGCGUAAAGCGCGUGUAGGCGGCCCGAUAAGUCCGCUGUGAAAGUCCAGGGCUCAACCCUGGAAUGCCGGUGGAUACUGUCGGGCUCGAGUCCGGAAGAGGCGAGUGGAAUUCCUGGUGUAGCGGUGAAAUGCGCAGAUAUCAGGAGGAACACCGAUGGCGAAGGCAGCUCGCUGGGACGGUACUGACGCUGAGACGCGAAAGCGUGGGGAGCAAACGGG
rnacentral:rRNA from 1 species